rnacentral:sRNA from 1 species
CACUGAUCGGGAGUUGUGGGUACUCCCCUGAUGAGUUUAUGACAAUACAAUACAAAACCAUUG